rnacentral:ncRNA from 1 species
UAUCUAAGCUGAAUCCGGGAUGAAAAGGGAAUACGGUGAGGUGUAACCUGUUAGGUGCCAAUUCCGUGACUGCCCCCGCAACUGUAUGUGGUUAGCCGCUCUGAGAGUACCACUGGAUUUAUAAAAUCUGGGAAGGUUCAGAGAAGCUUUGAUCCGCGAGUCAGGAGACCUGCCAUCGUGUUA